GAUGGAUCCGCGCUGCAUUAGCUAGUUGGUAAGGUAACGGCUUACCAAGGCAACGAUGCAUAGCCGACCUGAGAGGGUGAUCGGCCACACUGGAACUGAGACACGGUCCAGACUCCUACGGGAGGCAGCAGUAGGGAAUCUUCCGCAAUGGGCGAAAGCCUGACGGAGCAACGCCGCGUGAGUGAUGAAGGUCUUCGGAUCGUAAAACUCUGUUAUUAGGGAAGAACAUAUGUGUAAGUAACUGUGCACAUCUUGACGGUACCUAAUCAGAAAGCCACGGCUAACUACGUGCCAGCAGCCGCGGUAAUACGUAGGUGGCAAGCGUUAUCCGGAAUUAUUGGGCGUAAAGCGCGCGUAGGCGGUUUUUUAAGUCUGAUGUGAAAGCCCACGGCUCAACCGUGGAGGGUCAUUGGAAACUGGAAAACUUGAGUGCAGAAGAGGAAAGUGGAAUUCCAUGUGUAGCGGUGAAAUGCGCAGAGAUAUGGAGGAACACCAGUGGCGAAGGCGACUUUCUGGUCUGUAACUGACGCUGAUGUGCGAAAGCGUGGGGAUCAAACAGGAUUAGAUACCCUGGUAGUCCACGCCGUAAACGAUGAGUGCUAAGUGUUAGGGGGUUUCCGCCCCUUAGUGCUGCAGCUAACGCAUUAAGCACUCCGCCUGGGGAGUACGACCGCAAGGUUGAAACUCAAAGGAAUUGACGGGGACCCGCACAAGCGGUGGAGCAUGUGGUUUAAUUCGAAGCAACGCGAAGAACCUUACCAAAUCUUGACAUCCUUUGACAACUCUAGAGAUAGAGCCUUCCCCUUCGGGGGACAAAGUGACAGGUGGUGCAUGGUUGUCGUCAGCUCGUGUCGUGAGAUGUUGGGUUAAGUCCCGCAACGAGCGCAACCCUUAAGCUUAGUUGCCAUCAUUAAGUUGGGCACUCUAAGUUGACUGCCGGUGACAAACCGGAGGAAGGUGGGGAUGACGUCAAAUCAUCAUGCCCCUUAUGAUUUGGGCUACACACGUGCUACAAUGGACAAUACAAAGGGCAGCGAAACCGCGAGGUCAAGCAAAUCCCAUAAAGUUGUUCUCAGUUCGGAUUGUAGUCUGCAACUCGACUACAUGAAGCUGGAAUCGCUAGUAAUCGUAGAUCAGCAUGCUACGGUGAAUACGUUCCCGGGUCUUGUACACACCGCCCGUCACACCACGAGAGUUUGUAACACCCGAAGCCGGUGGAGUAACCUUUUAGGAGCUAGCCGUCGAAGGUGGGACAAAUGAUUGGGGUGAAGUCGUAACAAGGUAGCCGUAUCGGAAGGUGCGGCUGGAUCACCUCCUUU
rnacentral:rRNA from 1 species